UGCCGGCCUAGCUCAAUUGGUAGAGCAACUGACUUGUAAUCAGUAGGUUGGGGGUUCAAGUCCUCUGGCCGGCACCAU
rnacentral:tRNA from 6 species